rnacentral:rRNA from 1 species
UGAGUAAUACAUAAGUAACCUGGCAUCUACAGGGGGAUAACUGAUGGAAACGUCAGCUAAGACCGCAUAGGUGUAGAGAUCGCAUGAACUCUAUAUGAAAAGUGCUACGGGACUGGUAGAUGAUGGACUUAUGGCGCAUUAGCUUGUUGGUAGGGUAACGGCCUACCAAGGCGACGAUGCGUAGCCGACCUGAGAGGGUGACCGGCCACACUGGGACUGAGACACGGCCCAGACUCCUACGGGAGGCAGCAGUAGGGAAUUUUCGGCAAUGGGGGAAACCCUGACCGAGCAACGCCGCGUGAAGGAAGAAGUAAUUCGUUAUGUAAACUUCUGUCAUAGAGGAAGAACGGUGGAUAUAGGGAAUGAUAUCCAAGUGACGGUACUCUAUAAGAAAGCCACGGCUAACUACGUGCCAGCAGCCGCGGUAAUACGUAGGUGGCGAGCGUUAUCCGGAAUUAUUGGGCGUAAAGAGGGAGCAGGCGGCACUAAGGGUCUGUGGUGAAAGAUCGAAGCUUAACUUCGGUAAGCCAUGGAAACCGUAGAGCUAGAGUGUGUGAGAGGAUCGUGGAAUUCCAUGUGUAGCGGUGAAAUGCGUAGAUAUAUGGAGGAACACCAGUGGCGAAGGCGACGAUCUGGCGCAUAACUGACGCUCAGUCCCGAAAGCGUGGGGAGCAAAUAGGAUUAGAUACCCUAGUAGUCCACGCCGUAAACGAUGAGUACUAAGUGUUGGGGGUCAAAGCUCAGUGCUGCAG